rnacentral:rRNA from 1 species
GAUGAACGCUGGCGGCGUGCUUAACACAUGCAAGUCGAGCGAGUGAGUUCUUCGGAACGAUCUAGCGGCGGACGGGUGAGUAACACGUGGGCAACCUGCCUCAUAGAGGGGAAUAGCCUCCCGAAAGGGAGAUUAAUACCGCAUAAAAUUAUCGAGUGGCAUCACAUGAUAAUCAAAGGAGUAAUCCGCUAUGAGAUGGGCCCGCGGUGCAUUAGCUAGUUGGUGAGGUAACGGCUCACCAAGGCGACGAUGCGUAGCCGACCUGAGAGGGUGAGCGGCCACAUUGGGACUGAGACACGGCCCAGACUCCUACGGGAGGCAGCAGGGGGGAAUAUUGCACAAUGGGGGAAACCCUGAUGCAGCAACGCCGCGUGAGUGAUGAAGGUCUUCGGAUUGUAAAGCUCUGUCUUUGGGGACGAUAAUGACGGUACCCAAGGAGGAAGCCACGGCUAACUACGUGCCAGCAGCCGCCGUAA